UUUUGAAACGCUGAUAAUUUUAAUGUCAUUGAUUUGAUUGAUUGUCAUGUCAGGUUUCUCAGAACUUUAAUCUGUAUUAUUUGUACUUGUACCUAUUAUUUUUUGUACAAAAUCUUAUCCACCAUCGUUAAAUAAAUUAAUAGGCGUUUAGCCUACCUUUGAACUUUGAUGGAUCCUUGGGGCAGCGAAGUCAAUAAUUCCGAGGUUGUAUCGGAGUUUGAAGACAAUUUCCAACCUCCUUCCGUGUCCGAGAAGUUAUCGGAUUCUGAGCAGUAUCUCGCUAUUUUAGAGCGCAAGUUAAAGGCAAUCAAGUCCAAGAACAAGGUGGUUGACAACCUCGCUGCAUACAGGGCUGACUGCAUUGACCGGUUGAUGCGCGACGGCUGCGACUUAGAUCCUGUUAUUGGAGACACUGAAGACGAGAAACUGUUGCAGGAGUAACUUGUCUAUUUAAAACAUACUAUUAUAUGAUGCAGUGAUGGCGGGUCGCAAGAGCCUGUUCAUCUUCCUGAUGGGGCUGGCGUGGAAGUGCCGGCUCAGCAUGCCACUGCUGCUGAGCGGGACGGUCGCCGUGCUGGGCAGAGCUCUCAUGUUCCAGAUACGAGUGCAUACCGUGCAUAUGCUGCAUGAGAAUGAGUUGGCAUAUUACGACGACGAAGACGAACAAGAUGAAGACGAAGGCUCCUGGGACACAGAGUCCUCAGACUCCUGGGAGACCAUAGUGGAGGAGGUGGCUUACGGGUGAUCCUCCAUCGCAUACCAUCUGUUCUCGCACCGAUGUCUACUGUCUCCAUCGUACGUAGCUUAGGCAGGGCAUUCCACAUAUUUUGGCAAAGGUUUUCAUCAUGUUUGUAAAUAUUAUCAUUAUUCUGUUACUCUUUUAUAAACAUGGUCGAAGGUUUUCGGUUAAGGAACUUUUUAGAGGACUUUUUGCUAUUUAUUGCGUCACAAGAAUUAAUUUUAAGUUCAGCUUUCGAAACAAAGAUUGUGAUUUAUUUUAUUAAUGUAUUCAUACGGAAAUAGGUGUAUA
rnacentral:misc_RNA from 1 species